rfam:Devosia sp. 66-22 SCNpilot_expt_1000_bf_scaffold_52, whole genome shotgun sequence.
ACGCGGCGCCGGGCCCCUCUGACGCAGGUUCACCCCUGCGUGAUGUCGGAGCUGCUCC